ACAUCAGACCUUUGAGCAGAAAGACUGAGGAGCCCUUUGAGAGCAUGGAGAUACAAGUGAGGGUGAUCACAUUUCCUGAAGCCAUCACUACCUCUUCAUAGACCAUCUGGGAAUCCAGACCCUUGACUUCAAACAUUCCCAAGGAGACCUGCAAAACAAUUGAUACUGACAGAGAGAAGCUAACCCAAUGCAGUAUCUGAGAAGAAUGCAGAGUCAUUAUAGAUGAGAAAACUGGGCUUGAUGAAGUUGGUUUCUUCAAUGAUGCAACCAGCCCUGCUUCAAUUCCUCUCUGGAGGGAGGAAGACUCAAAAUUUCAGAAACACACAACUCCAUUCCCAUAGGGUCAUGGCUGAUAUACUUGUUCAUUUACUAUUGCAACCAGGAGUAUGAGAGACAUAUUCUUUCCUGUGCUCACUAUAUUGCAGCAGCCCUGCCUCCUUCUAAAAAUCAAGGUCAACAAUUCUCGUCGGUAUGGAGAUUCCUUUCUUCUUGACUACAGUGACCAAAUGGCAUUCACACUUCAUGUCUCUUUGUCCACAGUCUUCCAAACUUUGCCAUUUGCCACUGUUCCUGGAUACAUCUACAUUCUUAUCUUUGGAUACUUCUCUUUUCAUAUGACAUGGAAGUACCACCCAGAAUUGUCACCAGCUGGUCAGGCUGACAAGAUGAGCUGUGUUCAAAGGAGUUGACUGUAUCAAUAACUAUGAAAAAGGUGAAGAAACCACACAAACACGAAAAUACCUUUUUCUCAAUUGCUGGGGUCAGGGAUGGCUCUGCGACCUCAAAGAUCAGCUCCAUACUGGAAAGAGGACAAGGAGAGCAAGAGAGGCAAGCAAGAGUGAGAACUCAAACACCUCUAUUUAUUGGGGAAAAAACAUUCUAUAGAAAAUUCCUCCCAAAUAAGGCAAGGGGUGGGGUUUCAAAGAGUGGAGUCUUGCUUGGUGAUAUCUUGUGGUCAGCAGAUUGAUUGACAUCUUGGCAAGUCACGCCCAUCUCAGGUGCUGUGUAGGAUCACAGGCAGAGCAAGAGGAAAGGUACACAUGUGUCACACAGCCCAAAAAGCGCAAACCACCAGGCCCCUCAUAUGCUCAAAUGCACAUAGCUCACACACACAGCCCAUGGAUUGCUCAUGACAUGGAACUGUCCACUGGGAGGAUGUUCCCUUAUCCCUAUCCUUCAGGGUCCCUCCUGUGUGGGGUUGGAGCACAGCAGCAUCUUCAGUUUGCAUUAACAUGCACAAGCUGACCCAGGCCUAUGUUCAGGCUUGUCCUCUGCUACGAGCUGAUCAUAAGCUUCUCCCACCCCUAGAAGCCCUAAGUGAGAGCUGUGGGAGAGGUGCUUAUGCAACAGGGAUGGUGACAGAAUGCACUCAUGAUGAGCAGCACCUGUGGCAUGGCCACUUGAUGUCCUGUGGUCAGCUACUUCAUCUCUACCAAUGCAAAAUAGCAAGCCAAGAAAUACUUAUUGAAUGUUGUACAGUUCCUAAAACCCUGGUCAACACUAGUUCUCCUGUUGGGUUUUUCAGUGAACAUCAUGCAGCAUCCUCUCCCACCACAGACACCUCUGGCACCAAAGAUUCUGCUUAAUCACAUGCCCUGCCUGUGCUGCCGAGAUCUUUCCUUCUCUAGGUCCCGUUCAUAUUUGGCAACCUCCCAUGUCACCACUCAUCAAAUAGGUCUCAGAAGUAUUCCAAGUGUGGAAGAUGCUGCUUCCAGAACCCAAAGGAGAGUCACAGUAUUGUGCUUUUUCCUAAUGGUGGGGAGCUUGAGAUGCAACAAUGUAUCCUUAACUUGGAGGGGAUGCCCCAAGAUAUCCCCAAACACUGAAUUUCUAAAAAAUGUCUCUGAAUCUUCACAGGGUUUAUUUCCCACCCUCAGGUGUGGUUCAGUUAUGUCAAAGUUUCUUACAUACUUUCCAGUUUUUGCUAAUCUGUUCUAGUUAGCAAGGUUUCAUCAAUAUAGAGGACUGAAGUACUGAGGAGUGUGUAGAUAGACCAGGUUCUUUCAGAAAGCAAGGAAAUUAACAUAGCCUUGGGAAAGAUGGCAAGUGUAUAAUGUUGCUUAUUCCACAUGAAGGGGAACGAUAUAUAAAAAUUCUUUUCUGAUGAUGAGAAAAGAGUAUAUGCUGUAUGGCUGGUUUCAUACCACAUUAAUCUGCUGCAGCACAGAUACUACAUGAGGAUUCUGUAAGAGGCUGCGGCAAGAGGCUACAACUUGGUUCUGCCUCACCAGAGUGCUCUUAUAUCAGUUUCUCCCCCUUAUUCUACUUUAUGUUUCAUUUCUCCUUGAUCCAGACCCCUCAGGAUCCAGGUCCAUGAAUAUUUAUUCCACUCCCGUUGUUACAAACAAGCCAGGUUUCAGAGCUUCUUUGUUGUUUAGUCUCUCUCCUCCCUUAGCUGGCCCAAAACAUCCUCAGUCAGGCUGUGCUGAA